AUUGCUUCUUACUGGUGAACGCUCUCAGAUUUAACAAUGAGAGAUGUUCAUAUUUCCGAAGCAUAAAUUAAGUAAUUUAUAGCCAGUUUUAAACAGCGCUGUGCAUUUUCUUAUAUUGCACUGUGCUACCUGUCUCCUGGUAUAUUU
rfam:Gossypium arboreum cultivar AKA8401 contig_12407_1, whole genome shotgun sequence.